CUUUCCUGCCUGGAGCUGGAUCCCACUCUCAAAACUCUCUGCUGACAGAUGUAAGUCUACUGCAGCAGGAGAACUAUUCAGAUAAUUGACUAAUGUCCCAUCUGACUACCAAACUAAACUGGCCCCGUCUCACUCAUGAGCUUGUCAUAUUUAAGCUGGGAACGCCCUUUGGACAUUGUACUUUGGACCACUUGACUGCCUUUUUCUUUAGCUGCGUCUUCCCUGGCCACUGUUCAACCAAGGAAGCCAGUCUCCAUCCGUCCUGGCUUACUCUCUUUCCCCACUGGUCCUCUGUUUCAGAAACUUCACAUACGCUGUGCCUGAGCCCACCUGACUUAGUGCAGUGUCAUACUCCUUGUGACCACCAACUUGAAAUGGGCCAGAAGGAGAUAAAGGCAACUUCCAAGCCCACCUUUGACUCCCUUGUUGCCAAUCUACAGUCAAUAUUCCCAUUUCCAAGUUGAAAAAGCUAAGGAAAUGAAAACGGGUUCCAGUCGCAUGAGGUAGACACCGCCCUCAAAAGGAAAGACAAACAAUACUCAUUAUUAGCAGCAGCCCACCUACUGUGUGCACUAGUGAUCAGCUGAAACUCCUGAAGCAAUUAAUGUGUGGCCUUCGCUGGUUUCUUGAGACAUGAAGAUUGGCAAUGUUCAAGACGAGGGCUGCCUGGAACCCUGAGUGAUUCUAAGAGCAAAGCCUUUGCUGACCUGCAAAGGACAUAAAGCACAAGUAAAUAAAUCCUCACUAACUCAAA